GAUGAACGCUGGCGGCGUGCCUAAUACAUGCAAGUCGAGCGAACGGACGAGAAGCUUGCUUCUCUGAUGUUAGCGGCGGACGGGUGAGUAACACGUGGAUAACCUACCUAUAAGACUGGGAUAACUUCGGGAAACCGGAGCUAAUACCGGAUAAUAUUUUGAACCGCAUGGUUCAAAAGUGAAAGACGGUCUUGCUGUCACUUAUAGAUGGAUCCGCGCUGCAUUAGCUAGUUGGUAAGGUAACGGCUUACCAAGGCAACGAUGCAUAGCCGACCUGAGAGGGCGAUCGGCCACACUGAAACUGAGACACGGUCCAGACUCCUACGGGAGGCAGCAGUAGGGAAUCUUCCGCAAUGGGCGAAAGCCUGACGGAGCAACGCCGCGUGAGUGAUGAAGGUCUUCGGAUCGUAAAACUCUGUUAUUAGGGAAGAACAUAUGUGUAAGUAACUGUGCACAUCUUGACGGUACCUAAUCAGAAAGCCACGGCUAACUACG
rnacentral:rRNA from 1 species